UUAAAACUUUCAACAAUGGAUCUCUUGGUUCCGGCAUCGAUGAAGAACGCAGCGAAAUGCGAUAACUAAUGUGAAUUGCAGAAUUCAGUGAAUCAUCGAGUCUUUGAACGCACAUUGCGCCCCCUGGUAUUCCGGGGGGCAUGCCUGUCCGAGCGUC
rnacentral:rRNA from 1 species